GUUCCAUGCAUUAUAUAUAUUUAUAGAUAUUAUAUAUAUUUAGCAGGGUAGGCCUAAGUAACAAAUGUCGGGUUGAAAUCGGGCUCCGGCUCAUAAUUACAGGGCACAACGAGUAAACCCCCUCGUCAAGUGUCAGUCACUUGUUUCAUGGUCUGUGUGGGAGGCGGAGCCCUGGCGUUACACGUGUUUAUUAUUUUUUGAAGCGCAAUCGUGUUUACAUCCUUUUUAUUUAGUGUUUCAAUUUUAUUUAUUAGCAUUUUUUGUUAAUAAUAGAUUGUUUUUGGUUGUUUUGUUAAUUUAUUCUGGAUAUUAUAAAUGUCUUCCAGACGUCCAGUUCCAGUGUUCUUUAAAAAUAAAAGUUUAUUGAUCUUCGAAAGGGUGUACUUUAUCAUUAUAUUAGUUGAAAAACGGCAAUAUUAUCGCUUAUCGCAAUAAUUUCUG